AGAUGAAGUGGUAGAUGUAGAAAACUGAGAACAUAGAUAAACGAAAAGUUAGCCGCCUGGUUCAACUUUUCAGAUCUUCCACCUUCCUCGAUGGUUUGGCUUUGCCGCUGCCGAGGGAGGAUUAUUGUCAUCUGUUCUCCUUUUUCUUAUAGGCUUUAUCUAUGAUCUAUGAAAGGUGUGGCUUCGUCGGGGUAGGAGUUGUCGGUGCUCUUGUAGAGGCUUUGGGUGGUAUUUACUCUGUGGAAGUUUGGCAUCAUUUAGAGCGUUGUAGCAGGUUGUUGGUGCUCUUAAGCACAGGCUUCAGAGCUGAAUCUCCAUGUCUGGUAUCUGCGUUGAAGUUAUGUUUGAGCCCUUGCCUCGGUUUCACCGGCUCGGUGGUGGUGAAGCUUUCUUUUGGAUAAUACUUUCCUCUCUGUUUCCCACCCACUGAGCAAGUGUUUUGGUUUCUUCAACUUCGGAUGUCAACAACAGGGGAAAAAAACUAUCUUCACUGAAUUAAGACAUGUUUCUGGCGACGGAGUUUUCUUCACGUCAAGCUGAGCUCUACUCAAGCUGCUAGUGUAGAUAAAAGCAGAGCAUCCGGUUGUGAAGUAAAAUGAAGUUUGGACAGUGCAGUCUUAUUUGUAUCUCAAGAAACGUUUGUUUGGGAUAGUUUAAAUGCUUGGUCGCUGGAGUAUGCGCAAGCAAGCAAGUAAAAAUUUGAUAGCUUUGAAAAUUGCAGAGUGUUAACAUUGACCAAAAGUACCAAUCUUACGCUAUUAAUGGUCAUCACUGGCUCCUCCCUCUAAUCUCUGCAGAAGCUGUAUCACUGAUCUGGAAAAGGUACACCACCGGAUUCCACCUAUUGGUGUGUGAACGGUUUGUUUUUGUGUACUAUUGCUGGCUUAAUAGCCUUUAUGUAUUGGCUAUUUUCUUUUCAUACCUAUUGGUGUGUUUUAAGUUUUUUUGUAGCAACAUUAUGUAACUUUUGCCUUGAUGGCUUUAUAAAUUGGAUAAAUUCAGCG